UUCAUUAGAUUUGUUAGUAGUUGGCUUACAUUUUCAGUCAAUGGUGAGCUGGAUCCAAGGCAGCAAAAGCAUAGUGGAAGGAACUGGCAGGGGAAAACUUCUCAACUAUUGUGAUCCAGGAAGACAGAAGAGAGGAGUGCGAGAGGAAGAUAUACCCUUUCAGCUCAUACCCACAGUGACCUACCUUCAAACAGCACACUCGAUCACUGCAUUCAAUAUGGAUUCAGCUACUAAUAAGUAUGGCGUCUUUCCAUCACCUUCUGAAAGCCUGCCUUACACGUGCAUGAGAAUUUCAAAGGGCAUUCCAGAUCAACAUCACAGCCAAGGGCAACAACCUUAAAGAGAAGGAAAGAGAGAGAGAAGACAACCUCCUAUCAAGGACAGUUUGGAAUUUCCUCUUCAAGGAUGGACAUGUGCAGAAGAGGCCAGCUCAUCCAGCCCAUGACCUAUUGUCAUCACAAGCUUGAAAUCCCUCAUGGAUCUGCACCAGGAAGACCCAAAGUCCAGGGGUGGAAGCCAGAAAACUUGUGCCACCAGUGGGUUGGAGGAUUUAUGCCACCAGGAUGAGGAAUUUACACUGGAGGCAGGAAGUGAUGCUCCUCUGAUGAGAACAGCAUCUACUCCGGGUGACAGUGAGUCCCUAAGCUCCUUCUCCAAAGAGAACAGCCAAUUUCGCAUCAAGAAAAGCAGCUACAGCAAGCUUCUCUUAGAAAUUCAACAGCCCCUCAUCUUCUCCUCCAUCUCUCUUUUUUAUACUAUUGGCAACAAUCCUCAGGUGGGUCUUCCACACCCAGACUACACUGACUCAGUUCUGCGGGCAUUACAAGUUGACCAUUAAUUAAUCCACCACAUAGUAUUUUCAGAUAAGGUGAUGGCAAUUUCAAGGACUACCUUCUGAUAUAUGGAGAUUUCAGUGACUCAUAAUUUUCAAGUCACAGUAGCAAUCUGUGAGUUGUGAGCAUGAUCCAAGUGCUUGUUCUGAUACAGACAUGCCAUUCACUUUUGUAUCAGAGUAGGAAAGAGAUUAAGAAAGAGAAUUAAUUAAUUUUUUUAAAAACGGUAAAAAAUUUCCACAUAUCUGUCUUGUAUGUGUGUAUGUUUACACAUAUUCACUUGCAUUUCAAUCACAGCCAUUUUUCAUAUUUAUUUUUG
rnacentral:lncRNA from 1 species